rnacentral:lncRNA from 1 species
UCCGUGAGGUGGGUCAAUUGUUUUCUAACAAUAAAUAAAGAUAUUUAAAUGGUGAUAAUCUGAGUGAACCCGAGUUAACUUGAUUAACCCACAAUCCAGGAUAACCCAGAGAAAGGAAAGAGAAAAAAAUAGAAAGCUCAAAGCCCAAUAGUCUAAAGUUAAAUGAUAAAAUAAAAAAUAAAAAAAGACCAAAGUUAAAUCGGGUUAAUCUUCGAAACCAGUUACUUUUGUCAUGAGACUAAAAUGACCAUACAAAAGACCAACAAAAAAUCUAGAACAAAAUUCUUAACCAUAAAAAAAUUAAAAAUAAAAUAAAUAGCAAUUAAAAUAAUGUGGACCAAAUAUGGUAUAAAAACUAAUGAAAGAAAAUAAUGAGGGACUUAAUUGAAAAAUAAAAUAAAAAGAAAAAGAAUAAAAAAAGAGUAAUUAAAAGAAUGAUAACCAAAAUCGGAUAGAAAAAUAAAAUAAAAUGUUGAGGGAAAAAAUUGAAUGAAAAAAAUAAUUAAGGAAAGGAUAAAAAAUAAGAACUAAUAUGGGAAAAAAAGAAAUGAAAUAAAGAAAAGGAUAAAAAAACAAAAAUCAAGAUAAUGAAUACCAUAUUUAAUGUAAAAACAAAACAAAAUCAAAUAGAAAGAGAUAAAAUUGAAAAACAAAAACAAUUUAAAAAAAUAAAAAAAAGAAAG